GCCGGCGUGGCUCAAUGGCAGAGCAAUCGCCUUGUAAGCGAUAGGUUGUGGGUUCGAUUCCCUCCGCCGGCU
rnacentral:tRNA from 1 species